ACCCGCUCCCACACCCUCUGCUUGGGAUUCAGCUCCUUGUCCGGCUCUCCUGUAAAAGAAGGACAAUAGCCAUGAAUAAAGAGCUCAGAGAAGCCAUGGCUGGUACGCCACCCACCAGGGAAGCUCUGGAAAGUGACCCUGUCACCGGGCAUAGCACCGCUGGGGGGGUCCAGGAUCUCCACCCUCUGCUGGGACGUGGCACACAUCACCAUGGCCUGGGACAGCACCCCCCGCAUCUUGGAGGGCCUCAGGUUGCACAGGAGCACCACCAUCCGGUUCUGCAGCUUUGCGAUUAAGAGGAAAUGCACUUGUUUAUUUUUACUCGUUUAUUUAUUUUAUUUACAUUGUACAUUAAGGGGAUCCCCUCUUGUGCAAAAAAGUCCAGAGGUAGAAGUUGUCAGUUGCUUUUUAAAAAACUUUUUUUUCCCAAACUUGUGUGUUUUGUGGACAUGCAAGUUAAACUAGACAUUAUGAUACAUACGAUGCAUGGGCGACAGUGAAGAAUAAUGGGUAAGGAGUUGUCCCAAAGGUCACAGGUUCGAUUCUCAGGUAAGACACUGUCAUUGCACCCUAAAGCAAGGUACUUAACCGGCAUUGCUUCAAUAGACAUCCAGCUGUGUAAAUGGAUGCAAUGUAAGUGCUGCGUAAAAUGUUGUGUCACUCUGGAUAAGGGCAUCUGCAUUGGUCCAUUGCAUCCAUCUAAUGCAAUGGACCAAUUUCAGCCAUUUUCAGUGCUCUGGACAUAUGGCUGAAAUGUUGUUGCUGCAUCCUGUCAAGCAAUUAGAAAUCAGAGCUUCAAAGACAGGUCAAUAACAGUGGAUAUUCCUUGAGAGGAAGAGGGUGAUGAAACCGACUGCAGACACAUUUCUGCCCUUCCUGAACGGAAUUAAUUGCACGUGUGGUGAUGAAUUCCCGCCCUUUGUGUUUUUGUGGAAAUAAAACCGCAAUAACAAAUGAGAUUUAA